rnacentral:rRNA from 1 species
AGCGAACGCUGGCGGCAGGCUUAACACAUGCAAGUCGAGCGGACCUUUCGGGGUCAGCGGCGGACGGGUGAGUAACGCGUGGGAACGUGCCUUCCGGUUCGGAAUAACCCUGGGAAACUAGGGCUAAUACCGGAUACGCCCUUAUGGGGAAAGGUUUACUGCCGGAAGAUCGGCCCGCGUCUGAUUAGCUAGUUGGUGGGGUAACGGCCUACCAAGGCGACGAUCAGUAGCUGGUCUGAGAGGAUGAUCAGCCACACUGGGACUGAGACACGGCCCAGACUCCUACGGGAGGCAGCAGUGGGGAGUAUUGGACAAUGGGCGCAAGCCUGAUCCAGCCAUGCCGCGUGAGUGAUGAAGGCCUUAGGGUUGUAAAGCUCUUUUAUCCGGGACGAUAAUGACGGUACCGGAGGAAUAAGCCCCGGCUAACUUCGUG